rnacentral:rRNA from 1 species
UACGUAGGUGGCAAGCGUUGUCCGGAUUUAUUGGGUUUAAAGGGAGCGUAGGCUGCCCGGCAAGCGUGCUGUGAAAUACAGUGGCCCAACCACUGGACUGCAGCGCGAACUGUCGGGCUUGAGGGCGCACGACGCAGGCGGAAUUUGUGGUGUAGCGGUGAAAUGCUUAGAUAUCACGAAGAACCCCGAUUGCGAAGGCAGCUUGCAGGAGCGCGACUGACGCUGAAGCUCGAAAGUGCGGGUAUCAAACAGG